rnacentral:rRNA from 1 species
UACGUAGGGUGCGAGCGUUGUCCGGAAUUACUGGGCGUAAAGAGCUCGUAGGUGGUUUGUCGCGUUGUUCGUGAAAACUCACAACUCAAUUGUGGGCGUGCGGGCGAUACGGGCAGACUGGAGUACUGCAGGGGAGACUGGAAUUCCUGGUGUAGCGGUGGAAUGCGCAGAUAUCAGGAGGAACACCGGUGGCGAAGGCGGGUCUCUGGGCAGUAACUGACGCUGAGGAGCGAAAGCCGUGGGGAGCGAACAGG